rnacentral:rRNA from 1 species
GACGAACGCUGGCGGCGUGCUUAACACAUGCAAGUCGAACGGAAAGGCCCUGCUUUUGUGGGGUGCUCGAGUGGCGAACGUGAGAGUAACACGUGAGUACCCUGCCCUUGACUUUGGGAUAACUUCCGGAAACUGGGGCUAAUACCGGCUAGGCGCUCCUGCUGCUUGGUGGGGGUUGGAAAGUUUCGGCGGUUGGGGAUGGACUCGCGGCUUAUCAGCUUGUUGGUGGGGUAGUGGCUUACCAAGGCUUUGACGGGUAGCCGGCCUGAGAGGGUGACCGGCCACAUUGGGACUGAGAUACGGCCCAGACUCCUACGGGAGGCAGCAGUGGGGAAUAUUGCACAAUGGGCGGAAGCCUGAUGCAGCAACGCCGCGUGCGGGAUGACGGCCUUCGGGUUGUAAACCGCUUUCACCUGUGACGAAGCGUGAGUGACGGUAAUGAGUGAAGAAGCACCGGCUAACUACGUG